rnacentral:rRNA from 1 species
GUUAUAUGGUCAAGCAACUAAGCGCAUACGGUGGAUGCCUUGGCAGUCAGAGGCGAUGAAGGACGUAGAAACCUGCGAAAAGCCUCGGGGAGCUGGUAAACAAGCUUUGAUCCGAGGAUGUCCGAAUGGGGAAACCCACCCAGUGUAAGCUGGGUAUCGUAUCGUGAAUACAUAGCGAUGCGAGGCGAACCCGGGGAACUGAAACAUCUAAGUACCCGGAGGAAAAGAAAUCAACCGAGAUUCCGAA